rnacentral:misc_RNA from 1 species
GAUGAAGAACGCAGCGAAAUGCGAUAAGUAAUGUGAAUUGCAGAAUUCAGUGAAUCAUCGAAUCUUUGAACGCACAUUGCGCCCGCCAGCAUUCUGGCGGGCAUGCCUGUUCGAGCGUCAUUUCAACCCUCAAGCUCUGCUUGGUGUUGGGGCCCUACGGUUGACGUAGGCCCUUAAAGGUAGUGGCGGACCCUCUCGGAGCCUCCUUUGCGUAGUAACUAACGUCUCGCAUUGGGAUUCGGAGGGACUCUUGCCGUAAAACCCCCAAAUUUUCUAAUGGUUGACCUCGGAUCAGGUAGGAAUACCCGCUGAACUUAAGCAUAUAAUAAGCGGAGGA